AAAUAUUUUAAAAUAAUUCUUGUUUGCAAUGCAAAAAUCAAUAUAAAUCUUGUGACGCGCGGUGUUCAACUUUAGUCAGCGCCAGGCGCUUACCGAGGAGGGACGUAUCGCUCGCUGUUGCGCCGCGUAAACUCGCCGGAGUUCGAAAAAUAUAGCGCAACCUACGCAUCUAACACGUUUUGAUACUAGUGAGUUUUAUUUUAUUUAUUAGUUAUAAUGAUCUGAUUGAAAUGUAAUAUACAUAAGUAUUAGGCCAUGAUAUUCUAAUUCGAAAAUGUUAUAGAUUGGGUUCUCUUUUUUUGAUGUUGGUUAUAAAGAAAUAUGUACGUAAAUGUCAUCGUCGUUAGUUUCGCUGUUGCAUAAUAAUGUAAUUGGACUUCUUUGAUUCUUGCAGGAUAAUGAAAGCAUAUUUAAUUCAGACUAUCAGGCUCAAUUGAAUACCAGUACAAAUAAUAUGGAAAAUGAAGAUACAAUACAUGGAAGACGAAUUAUAGAUUUUAGUUUUUUUAUAAAUCAAUUACUUAUAAUUGAUAAACAUGGUGAAAAGUUUGGUUGUCGAUUAAAUAAUUUAAAAAUUGUAAA